rnacentral:rRNA from 1 species
CACGUAGGGUGCGAGCGUUGUCCGGAAUUAUUGGGCGUAAAGAGCUCGUAGGCGGUGUGUCGCGUCGGCCGUGAAAACCUGCAGCUUAACUGUGGGCGUGCGGUCGAUACGGGCAUCACUGGAGUUCGGCAGGGGAGACUGGAAUUCCUGGUGUAGCGGUGAAAUGCGCAGAUAUCAGGAGGAACACCGGUGGCGAAGGCGGGUCUCUGGGGCCGAUACUGACGCUGAGGAGCGAAAGCGUGGGGGAGCAAACAGG